GCCCUUCAAGCAGACCUUCUCCGACCGCCGCUCAGCCCAGCCCUAUGCCUUCUUGCCUUCACCUCUAAUUGGAUGCUGGCCUCCAUUGGCUCCGCCCUUCGGUGACGCAAGCCAACUUCCCUCCGAUUCACUGCGCCGAGGGGGCGGAGCUGGGCGGAGCGACGGCGCGCAAUUGUCAUGGAGACAAGAAGCCGGCAGCAGCGGCUGCCGCGAGUCGGUUGCCACUGAGGCAAGGCUGAACUGCCCAGACCGCCGGAGCAAGAGGGAGCGCGGAGCCAGCCAGUGGAGCCUCUAAGACAGCCAAGGGGCGGUGUACUCCUGGGCUCUGUCUAGGCUCGGGAGGUCGCGGAGGAAGCCCCGGAGUGUCCCCGCCCUGCUCGCUUCGCGCCCGCCUCUAGCGGCCUCGGCUCCUCAGCGCCCGCCCCCGGCUCCGCCCGCUGCUGCCGCAGCUCUCGGCGCUAACGGUCGGUAGCAGCCCGCGCGCGCCGCCCGCCGGGGGCUUGCGCCAGCCACGAGGGAGCGUCCGCGGCCUGCGCGCCGGCGCCGCGGAGGAGAGAAUCUACAGUUCAUAAUGAAGCUACUGUACUGCCUGUUGGAAGGAAGAGAUUCUGAAGAUAGGGAGAAAAAUGAUAGAGCUUUUUAGUCAUCAGAAUAUCAACUCUCUGAACCAUAUCUGUGGAGGAUAUUAACAGACCAAUAAAGGAUUCAUGGAGUCUAAUUAUAUAAUUAGAAAAUUGAUUCAGCUAUCGGUCUUUGAAAUUUCCUGUGGUCUGUUCAAUCUAGAUGCAAAGGACAUGGAAAAAUCAAGUGCUCAAGUGGUUUAAAUAUGUUUUGGAUGUUCCUAUUUAUAGACCAGUAUUUUUCCAAUUAAAUCCUCCGUUGUCAUACUCUUAUUGAUCACCAAUUUUACUUGAAAUGCUUAGUAUUUUAGAGUAUCACCAACAUUUUCUGUUUUAAAGUAUAGAAAAAUAAAAUCAAUUUUGCAUGUUGA